rnacentral:rRNA from 1 species
GGAGUUAAGAAAUGUAAAGGUGUUAAUAGCGCCUUUAUUUGACGAAGGCUCCAGAGGAAGCCACGGCUAACUCUGUGCCAGCAGCCGCGGUAAUACAGAGGUGGCAAGCGUUGUUCGGAAUUAUUGGGCGUAAAGAGCACGUAGGCGGUCCUGCAAGUCUGUUGUGAAAUCCUUCCGCUCAACGGGAGAACGGCAGCUGAUACUACAGGACUAGAGUACGGGAGGGGAGAGUGGAACUUCUG